CAAUAGCGUAUAUUAAAGUUGUUGCGGUUAAAAAGCUCGUAGUUGGAUUUCUGCCGAGGACGACCGGUCCGCCCUCUGGGUGUGUAUCUGGUUUGGCCUGGGCAUCUUCUUGGAGAACGUAGCUGCACUUGACUGUGUGGUGCGGUGUCCAGGACUUUUACUUUGAGGAAAUUAGAGUGUUUCAAGCAGGCACACGCCUUGAAUACAUUAGCAUGGAAUAAUAAGAUAGGACCUCGGUUCUAUUUUGUUGGUUUCUAGAGCUGAGGUAAUGAUUAAUAGGGAUAGUUGGGGGCAUUCGUAUUUAACUGUCGGAGGUGAAAUUCUUGGAUUUGUUAAAGACGGACUACUGCGAAAGCAUUUGCCAAGGAUGUUUUCAUUGA
rnacentral:rRNA from 1 species